ACCCGCUGAACUUAAGCAUAUCAAUAAGCGGAGGAAAAGAAACUAACAAGGAUUCCCCUAGUAACGGCGAGUGAAGCGGGAAGAGCUCAAAUUUGAAAUCUGGUAGCCUUCGGCUGCCCGAGUUGUAAUCUAGAGAAGUGUUUUCCGUGCCGGCCCAUGUACAAGUCCCUUGGAACAGGGCGUCAUAGAGGGUGAGAAUCCCGUCCUUGACAUGGACCCCCGGUGCUUUGUGAUACACUUUCAACGAGUCGAGUUGUUUGGGAAUGCAGCUCAAAAUGGGUGGUGAAUUCCAUCUAAAGCUAAAUAUUGGCGAGAGACCGAUAGCGAACAAGUACCGUGAGGGAAAGAUGAAAAGCACUUUGGAAAGAGAGUUAAACAGUACGUGAAAUUGUUGAAAGGGAAACGAUUGAAGUCAGUCAUGCUCUUUGGAUUCAGCCGUUCUGCGGUGUAUUUCCAUUGAGUGGGGUCAACAUCAGUUUUGACCGCUGGAUAAAGGCACUAGGAAGGUAGCACUCUCGGGUGAACUUAUAGCCUAGCGUCAUAUACAGUGGUUGGGACUGAGGAACGCAGCAUGCCUUUAUGGCCGGGAUUCGUCCACGUACAUGCUUAGGAUGUUGACAUAAUGGCUUUAAACGACCCGUCUUGAAACACGG
rnacentral:rRNA from 1 species